UACAGAGGGGGCAAGCGUUAUUCGGAAUUAUUGGGCGUAAAGGGCGCGUAGGCGGCCUGGCAAGUGGAAGGUGAAAUCCCUCGGCUUAACCGAGGAACUGCCCUCCAAACUGCUUGGCUUGAGUCCGGGAGAGGUGAGUGGAAUUCCCAGUGUAGGGGUGAAAUGCGUAGAUAUUGGGAGGAACACCAGUGGCGAAGGCGGCUCACUGGACCGGAACUGACGCUGAGGCGCGAAAGCGUGGGGAGCAAACGGG
rnacentral:rRNA from 1 species